rnacentral:rRNA from 1 species
GUGGGGAAUCUUAGACAAUGGGGGAAACCCUGAUCUAGCCAUGCCGCGUGAGCGAUGAAGGCCUUAGGGUUGUAAAGCUCUUUCAGCUGGGAAGAUAAUGACGGUACCAGCAGAAGAAGCCCCGGCUAACUCCGUGCCAGCAGCCGCGGUAAUACGGAGGGGGCUAGCGUUGUUCGGAAUUACUGGGCGUAAAGCGCACGUAGGCGGAUCAGAAAGUCAGAGGUGAAAUCCCAGGGCUCAACCUUGGAACUGCCUUCAAAACUCCUGGUCUGGAGUUCGAGAGAGGUGAGUGGAAUUCCGAGUGUAGAGGUGAAAUUCGUAGAUAUUCGGAGGAACACCAGUGGCGAAGGCGGCUCACUGGCUCGAUACUGACGCUGAGGUGCGAAAGCGUGGGGAGCAAACAGGAUUAGAUACCCGGGUAGUCC